rnacentral:snoRNA from 1 species
CCCCCGGUUUCUCAGUGCAGCCCCUGGAUGAGCCCCUAGUAUUUUCCUUAUAAGCUUGGGCCCCAAGGCCGGCCCAGAGCCUAAGAGGAUUAUAAAGGUCAGGCGAAGUGGGGCCAGGGGAUGAGC